UCCGGUUUGUCACCGGCAGUCUCAUUAGAGUGCUCUUUCGUAGCAACUAGGGACAAGGGUUGCGCUCGUUGCGGGACUUAACCCAACAUCUCACGACACGAGCUGACGACAGCCAUGCAGCACCUGUGUUCCGGUUCCCUUUCAGGCACACCCACCUUUCAGCAGGCUUCCAGACAUGUCAAGGGUAGGUAAGGUUGUUCGCGUUGCAUCGAAUUAAUCCACAUCAUCCACCGCUUGUGCGGGUCCCCGUCAAUUCCUUUGAGUUUUAACCUUGCGGCCGUACUCCCCAGGCGGCUCACUUCACGCGUUAGCUUCGGUACCAAGGAAUCGCUUCCCCGACAACCAGUUGACAUAGUUUAGGGCGUGGACUAC
rnacentral:misc_RNA from 1 species